ACGAGCUGAAAACACACACACAGACAUCUAUGUACUGUACUGUGGUAACAGGCUGCCAGUAUCUCGCCACUGUCUUCCCCUGCGGUGUCUUUUUGGCAGCCGGUGCAUAUAAACACCUUGAAUUGUUUAAUGGUGCCAGACAGGAAACAGUUUCCAUCUCUUUUUACCUGUCUGUCUAGUCCAUAACUCUGACCCCUACUCUGAACUGAGCCUAUCGCCACCAUACCUCAUUACAUUUCCACUUAAAAAAGACAGUUUCAUAACACACAGGAUUGCAAAGUCAUUUUGAAUGUAUGAGUAAUGGAGAUUAAUAAUCGUACAAAUCAGAUUAGAUAAUUGAAUUUUGGCGCCUCAAUGAAAAACGGUUGGAAAUAAAAGGGGUGUUAUUCUGCAACAGUUAUUAAAAGAAUCAUGUCAGGGCUUUAAUCUAACGCUUCAGAGGUUCUAUCAGGAAAUAUGGGAUUUGAUACACAUUCAGCUAUUGCACGCACACACAUGUCGCAAAAACAGAGAGAGUAAAAAAACUUUCUAAAAAUAAAUCUGGUCCCUAAGCUUUGUGAAAGGUCUAAAAUGUUGUGUUUUUUGCUUUGAUGACUGGGAGAAGAAGCAGCUUUAGCACUGGCCCUCGGAAGAGACUUUCUGAAACAUUUCUCUGAAAAUCAAUACCUUCUCUGCUAGGCAAAGAGGAUCUCUAAUAUAGUUUUAUGUUAUUAUUUUUUCUCAGACAUUGCUACAUUUUUCAGCGGCUGGCGGAGGGAAGAUGGAUUUUCUCUUCGACUGGAUGCUAAAUGUGAUUCUGAAUGUGGCUGUGAUCCUUUGGCCUGGAAAGACUGCACAUCAGCUUCACAACUGUUAUACACAAUAAACACACACUGGGUCCCUGUGGUGUGUGAAAUUGGUUCAGUGAGAAUUUCAGCGUGAUCGGCUCUAUAUCAGGUGCAACAGGGACCUCUGUUGGGUAAAAUCAUCAUUACAUUUUAACAGUGUCUCAGUACAACACAUUGUAAUUCAGUGUGUAUAUUUGCUGCAAUAUGUGUUGGUUGUACACAUGAAAUGUCAGCUUUUUACCUACAAUUUAAAUUCAGAAAAAUCUGUUUACUCUUUUUGCUAUUACUACUUUUUAUUGCAAACCCUGCUGGUUUUAAAAGUACCAGAAAUACACACUGUAUACCUGUUGCAUUUGGCAAUGUAACAUUUUUGAAAAUAUUAAUGCUUUUUCUGAUGUCCUGAAUGUUUUAAAAUAUUACUGAUUGUUGUGAAAAUAUGUUGCUGAUAGCUUUUCUUUUUAAUCUUAAGUCUUUAUCGCCCAAACAUCUUUCUAACAGAGGUCCUAACUUAUGGAGCUCUUUGUCUCAGUGGCUAAAAAAGGACGUCGGUCUUGCUUUUCUUGUUACAUAAUCUACAUACAGCUUAACAGGUCAGAUUUGUGAGACUGGAAACAGCAAUUGACAAAGUAAUCUCACCUGAAGCUCCAGUUGUGGCAGUUGCCAUGGAAACGUUCAUGUAUAAACAUGUUUCCAUGGUUGACUUUCAAGUCAACAUGGAUGAGAAGACAUAGAGGUUCAGAAUCGUGUAAAAGUUUGAACAUCUGCAGUAUGUUUCCAUGGCAACGGAGCAAACUCAAUUUGCACUUGGGGACCAUGUGAUAUGGUCAAAAGUUCCAGAAUGAGCGAGAAUGUGGACCUUGAGUUGAGAUUGUUAACUGUAAAUAUAACUGUUUCCUUCCUUUUUUUUUUUUAACUUUCCAAUGUUAUUUUUGUGUCCUUUGUGUAAUUUUAACCUGAGCAAAUAAAUAAAACUCAAAGUUUACCUGCAGUUACACUCUAAGUUUGGCUCUUGAUGUGGUGUCUCCAAUAAAAAUGAAAUUCUCUUGAAUUGAACAGAUUCAUUGCCAUAGCAUCAUCCCGUCGCCCCCUCCAUGCCCUUGCCCUCUCACCAGUGCACUCGCAUAUAUAUAUAUAUAUAUAUAUAUAUAUAUAUAUAUACAGACACACACAUAUAAAAUCAUCGACCCACAGAAAUCUACAAAAAAUUUGGCCUGCCUAUCUGGAGUGGCACGGUCAGGGGGUCAGGGAUGACAACAUGGCAGCUGUGAUAUCUUCCACGCUGUCCUUCAGUCUAGAGCGGCAUGAAGCAGAGGCUCUUUCCCAGGAGGAAGUGACCCAUGUCUGAAGGGGUGCUCUGUUGUCCAAUCAGAGGACUGCUGAAGCCUGGCAGCGCUACCUGCUCGGGCCACGCUGCUCCUUUUCUUCUUGUCUCUGACAGACAACAGGGGAGGAAGGAGGCGUGACCAGGAAACUCAUCAUCUGCAUCCGAACGUGGCCGUUGAGUGUAUGAGGGAGAGGAAACCAGGGAGAGAGAGACAGAAACAAAUAGGUAAUAAAUGAAAAAAUCAAUCUAAUCUAGAAAAACAAAUAGUGAAAAAUCAAAAGUAGAAGAAUUAAAGGAAGGAUUUAUUGAAAUAACCCCAAUCAGAAGGCAAGAUGAAAAGGUAAAAAGGAGAUGUAUGGAAAAAGAAACCAAAGUGAACCUGUGUCUGUCUGUCUAGGUGUCGUGUUAUUCAGGCCUGUAGCCGCUAAUGGAAUGACUCUUCAGACCUGCGGAUGCCAUUCCCUGCAUUCCUGAUCUCUGAGCCGUCUCUUUACAUAGCAAACCAUCCCAGUGGCUCCUGUGGCUAAUUACACUG